rnacentral:rRNA from 1 species
AUUGAACGCUGGCGGCAGGCCUAACACAUGCAAGUCGAACGAGUGGCGGACGGGUGAGUAAUGUCUGGGAAACUGCCUGAUGGAGGGGGAUAACUACUGGAAACGGUAGCUAAUACCGCAUACCAUCAGAUGUGCCCAGAUGGGAUUAGCUAGUUGGUGGGGUAACGGCUCACCAGGGCGACGAUCCCUAGCUGGUCUGCGAGGAUGACGAGCGACACUGGAACUGUGACACGGUCCAGACGCCCACGGGAGUCAGCGGUGGGGAAGAUGGCACGAUGGGCGCAAGCCUGAUGCAGCCAUGCCGCGUGUAUGAAGGAGGCCUUCGGGUUGUAAAGUACUUUCAGCGGGGAGGCGUUACCCGCAGAAGAAGCACCGGCUAACUCCGUGCCAGCAGCCGCGGUAAUUC